UAUGUAUUGGUGUUGUAUGUUCUGGUGUGUUGUAUGUUCUGGUGCUUUGUAUGUUCUGGUGCGUUGUAUGUAUUGGUGCGUUGUAUGUUCUGGUGCAUUGUAUGUAUUGGUGUUGUAUGUUCUGGUGCGUUGUAUGUAUUGGUGUAUUGUAUGUUCUGGUGAGUUGUAUGUAUUGGUGCUUUGUAUGUUCUGGUGCGUUUGUAUGUUCUGGUGCGUUGUAUGUUCUGGUGUUGUAUAUUCUGGUGCGUUGUAUGUAUUGGUGCGUUGUAUGUUCUGGUGCGUUGUAUAUUCUGGUGCGUUGUAUGUAUUGGUGCGUUGUAUGUUCUGGUGCGUUGUAUGUAUUGGUGCGUUGUAUGUAUUGGUGCGUUGUAUGUUCUGGUGCGUUGUAUGUAUUGGUGCGUUGUAUGUAUUGGUGUUGUAUGUUCUGGUGCGAUGGGUUUUGUACCCACUUUAUUUUAUUUUAUACACGUUGGUUUUCGGAGUUUGUGAGCAUUUACUACAGAAACACCCAAUCCAGUUUCAUGUUACCCUGGCUAUUUGUUAUGCUAUGUGUGUUCUAUAAAUCUGUAUUAGCUAGUAUGUAGGAUUUUAUCCAGUGAGUCUAUCCCUGUUGCUCUCUCUUUCUCUUUCUCUUUCUCUCUCUCUCUCUCUGUUUAGGUCCUCAACAGCUUAAAUAUACUUCUGUAAACCAUCUGCCGACACCAACAAGAAACCUGUAAACUCAGAAUUCAAUCACAUUUCAAGGUCACUGUUUUGAAAGCUUCAGACCGACUCAGUCGCUCCUCUGAGCAUGCUUGCCCACAGUUUAAAUAGGUGCGUGGUCAAACACAAAAAGGGAUAUCAAUGUUCCUUUAGUUUGGAGGCGGUCCACAUAUGAUGCCCUUCAAACACUCAUUUUGGCAGCUCGCUUGCUGCCGUAUGUGGACUGUACUCAAGAGAUACUUAUACAAAGUGUAUGUACAGGCCCACACCUGUAGGUACAGCAUAACUACUAGCUAUAUAAAGGUUUGCUUGUGGGUGUAGAAGGCCUCUCCUCAGUUCAGCCAGGGGUCAACCACGCUCCUUCCUCUUCCUCUGGGUACUCACCAGGGUGAAUCCUAUCCACUUCCUGGA
rnacentral:lncRNA from 13 species